AUUUUAGGCAUAUCUGUGUUGAAUGCUGGAAUGGAAGAAUGCUGACAUCAAUCUUGCAGCACUGCCCCGAUGACCCAUUACCCACCAUGACGGCUGGUCACCCCACUGAAAGGAACUUCGUUAGCAAGCGUGUCCAUGCAGUACUCUGUUGUGACCUGGCCUUGAGGACUUGCCACAAAAACAACAUCUGGUAAUGAUUUUGAUCAAGCAAUCAGCGAGGCAGCUCUCCAAAGACUCCUGUGGAGCCGAAGGCUUAAGAAAGUAACACAAAGCCAUUAAUUGUGCAAGAUAUUGUGAGCCUAAUAGCCUUAAUUAGCUUGAUUAAAGUUGAAAUAGGAGUAAAGGUGGUGAGAAUGCAUAUCCUGUAAAUUAAACCUUUGCCCUCUUACUUCUCUGAUCCAUAAAACCAGUAAAAUCCCAGAAUGGUAGUUUGAAAACAACCUUGCUUUCCUGCAAUAUAUGUCUUUCCUUUGUAAUAUAUUGGGUCCCAGUCCAUUGUGCAGAAGAGGCAAUGCUGUUACCGAUGUCUAUAGAAAAAAAAAAAAAAAAAAAAACUAUAAUUUUUUUCUUAUCACACAUUUUUUUAGACUAUACAGUGGAGACACAGCAUGCUUGCUCAACUUGUAUAUGCAUAACAAGAGCAAACUGAAGGGUGAAGAUUGGGAGUUGGACUUUGGGGAGCUUUUCAAGAGCUCAUAUCAAUCACCAGCCUGCAGGAACCUCCACCUCCUCCCCUCUCCCAUCUAGUGCUGCUGAUAGUACUCUUCUGUCAUCUUGCUCCUCUUCCCCCCUCGUAUACCUAGCACAUUUCUUAGCUACAGUUAGACUCACUUCCCUUUUAAUCCAUUUGUGUCCAUGGGAGCUGAAUAGAGGGGUCACUGUGCUCCUUAAGGAAGAGCUCUCCCUUAUGUCAACACUUUUGGCACUCCCCCUCAUUUAUCUGUUUCCCUCUCUCCCUCCUUGUAUAUCUCUCUCUAUCUCUUCAGUGCUAGGCAAACCGGUCCUGCAAGGGGUCAUGUGGUUACCAUAACAAAGAUGGACAGACCUCCUCUGGCUCCCUGGCCCACUGAUAAGGACUGGAACCGUCCAUCUUCGGUUUCUGUGUGUUUGCUUUUCCUGUGCCAGGGUUUUGUGCUCUCCAGCAGCCUUCAAAGCUUUUCUUUCUGCUGUUCUUCUAUCCCUUGGAUUGAAUGGAAAGAACAAAAAAUGUUAUUGCUACAGAAGACAGGAUCUCAUUCCAGGCUCAUGGCAUCUGGAUAGAGUAUAUCUUCAUCCACUAUUAUUAUUGUUACUUUAUUUGUUAUUCAGCAUGGCUCUUUCCACAGCAGCUUACGUUGUGUAUCUCAAAAUUACUGUCAUUUAUUAUGAAACUUUGAAAAUGUGCAGAUGUGUAAAAGUUUCUUUCAAAAAAAGAAAAAACCUCCCCAGAGGAUCCACUGACACACGAACCAGCCCCUUCACGAUGUAUUCUGCAGUUUCUGACACUGAGAGAUAUUUCUUCUUGCAGACUUCCAGGCCUG
rnacentral:lncRNA from 1 species